UACAGAGGUCCCAAGCGUUGCUCGGAUUCACUGGGCGUAAAGGGUGCGUAGGCGGUCGGGUAAGUCUGAUGUGAAAUCUCACAGCUUAACUGUGAAACUGCAUUGGAUACUAUCCGGCUCGAGGAAUGGAGGGGAGACUGGAAUACUUGGUGUAGCAGUGAAAUGCGUAGAUAUCAAGUGGAACACCAGUGGCGAAGGCGAGUCUCUGGACAGUUACUGACGCUGAGGCACGAAGGCCAGGGGAGCAAACGGG
rnacentral:rRNA from 1 species